UGGACUUGACAUCCUAUAAAUGAUUUAGAGAUAAGUUAGUGCUAGUUUACUAGAAUAUAGUGACAGGUGCUGCACGGCUGUCGUCAGCUCGUGUCGUGAGAUGUUGGGUUAAGUCCCGCAACGAGCGCAACCCUCGUCGUUAGUUGCUAACAGUUCGGCUGAGCACUCUAACGAGACUGCCUUCGUAAGGAGGAGGAAGGUGAGGACGACGUCAAGUCAUCAUGGCCCUUAUGUCCAGGGCUACACACGUGCUACAAUGGUUGGGACAAUGAGACGCAAUACCGCGAGGUGGAGCAAAUCUAUAAACCCAAUCUCAGUUCGGAUAGCACUCUGCAACUCGAGUGCUUGAAGCUGGAAUCGCUAGUAAUCGUAGAUCAGCAAUGCUACGGUGAAUACGUUCCCGGGUCU
rnacentral:rRNA from 1 species